GCCUACAUAAUGGCUCGGCCUAUUAUAUUUAUAACUUCUAACGGUCUUCUUCGCUCAACACAACCACAUGCAUGUCAAUUUGUUACCAUUUACUGAGUGCUAAAAGCAAAGCAUCCGACGCUUCUCACCACUGUGUUUGGUUCUCUUCUCGUCGCCAUUGAAAUGUAUGAUUUCAUUUAGUUUCUACCGAAAAAAGAGAGUUAAGGACUUUUUGGGACUUAAGAAUAUAGAGAAAUAGAUACAUACACCCUCCUAUGCUGUUGCUUUUGCAUCCUCAACCAAAUAAUUAAAUCUAUUUGCUGAAAAUGUGAUAAAAC